GACGAACGCUGGCGGCGUGCCUAAUACAUGCAAGUUGAGCGAUGAAGCUUGGUGCUUGCACCAAUUUGAAGAGCAGCGAACGGGUGAGUAACGCGUGGGGAAUCUGCCUUUGAGCGGGGGACAACAUUUGGAAACGAAUGCUAAUACCGCAUAACAACUUUAAACAUAAGUUUUAAGUUUGAAAGAUGCAAUUGCAUCACUCAAAGAUGAUCCCGCGUUGUAUUAGCUAGUUGGUGAGGUAAAGGCUCACCAAGGCGAUGAUACAUAGCCGACCUGAGAGGGUGAUCGGCCACCUUGGGACUGAGACCCGGCCCAAACUCCUACGGGAGGCAGCAGUAGGGAAUCUUCGGCAAUGGACGAAAGUCUGACCGAGCAACGCCGCGGGAGUGAAGAAGGUUUUCGGAUCGUAAAACUCUGUUGGUAGAGAAGAACGUUGGUGAGAGUGGAAAGCUCAUCAAGUGACGGUAACUACCCAGAAAGGGACGGCUAACUACGUG
rnacentral:rRNA from 1 species